rnacentral:rRNA from 1 species
AUUGAACGCUGGCGGCAUGCUUUACACAUGCAAGUCGAACGGUAACAGGCCUUCGGGUGCUGACGAGUGGCGAACGGGUGAGUAAUGCAUCGGAACGUACCCAGAGGUGGGGGAUAACGCAGCGAAAGCUGUGCUAAUACCGCAUGUGAUCUGAGGAUGAAAGCGGGGGACCGAGCAGCAAUGUUUGGCCUCGCGCCUUUGGAGCGGCCGAUGUCGGAUUAGCUAGUUGGUGGGGUAAAGGCCUACCAAGGCGACGAUCCGUAGCUGGUCUGAGAGGACGAACAGCCACACUGGGACUGAGACACGGCCCAGACUCCUACGGGAGGCAGCAGUGGGGAAUUUUGGACAAUGGGCGCAAGCCUGAUCCAGCAAUGCCGCGUGCGGGAAGAAGGCCUUCGGGUUGUAAACCGCUUUUGGCAGGAACGAAACGGUGUCCGCUAAUACCGGGCGCUAAUGACGGUACCUGCAGAAUAAGCACCGGCUAACUACGU